rnacentral:rRNA from 1 species
AUUGAACGCUGGCGGCAGGCCUAACACAUGCAAGUCGAACGAGUGGCGGACGGGUGAGUAAUGUCUGGGAAACUGCCUGAUGGAGGGGGAUAAAUACUGGAAACGGUAGCUAAUACCGCAUACCAUCAGAUGUGCCCAGAUGGGAUUAGCUAGUUGGUGGGGUAACGGCUCACCAAGGCGACGAUCCCUAGCUGGUCUGAGAGGAUGACAAGCCACACUGGAACUGGGACACGGUCCAGCGUCCUAAGGGAGGCAGCAGUGGGGAAUAUUGGACAAUGGGCGCAAGCCUGAUGCAGCCAUGCAGCGUGUAUGAAGAAGGCCUUGGGGUUGUAAAGUACUUUCUGCGGGGAGGCGUUACCCGCAGAAGAAGCACCGGCUAACUCCGUGCCAGCAGCCGCGGUAAUAC